ensembl:lncRNA
CCUUAACCCAUUUCUAUACAUUCGUGACAAGCCCAUGUCCUAUUUUGUGCUAUCUAUGGGAGUGGUUUUGGUUAUGGUCUGUUGGUGUGGAAGUGGCCUUUUCAAGGUCCAAGAGCUUCCACCAACUUGGCGGCUGUACCAGUAUGGGAGGCCAUGGAAGCUUCUGAUCACACAGCAAACCCAGAAGGAGAUACAAAAGGGUUUGAACUCAAAGAUACAACAAAGAAUCUUCAUGUUGCUCGACUGUAAUUUCCUUUUUCCUGAUGGCUCGGGUUCACUGAGGUUAAAAAUGCAAAAACAGAAGUAACCAAACAAGAAAUAGCAAUCCAUGCCAACAGAGGGUGUUUUGAUUCGCUUAUGUCUCCAAGGCAGUGUGGCAAAUACACGGGCGGAGGCUUUGUGAUGGAGGAAUAUAUGAAGGCGGGAGGAAGACUGGGGCAAGGAGAAGGCAGGUCAUUUGUUUGGCUGGAAAAGCAGAAAGCGGAUCUAAUGUCCAUCUGUUCUGGCAGACGGAAACAACAGGUCUUACUCACUCUGGCACAGGAGCUUCUGCUGAGAUCAGAGUAAAAUGUGAAGGGUGGAGGAAAGUUCAGGAAUGUGUGCUCACGUUUGUGUGUGUGUGUGAGUGUGUGUGAGAGAGCACCGCCUCAGGUAUCUAAGGCAAUGAAUUAAAUCAUUCUCACCGCUGCACCGCACCUCUGUGUUUUUGAAACCAGGGGGAGAGGUAUCAACUGAGGAAAAGUUUCGCACGUCUUUCAGCUUGGUCUUCAGUGGCACCGGGAAAUGGAAAUAAAUUAACAGACUGUGGAGGUAUAACUGUGCAUGGAGUGAUUCGUGAAAUUGGUUAUUUUCCUUUCUCUUGCCAGCAUCUCUCACUCGUGAACAUGAAGAAAUAUAGUAUAAAACGGAAAGCUAGGUUGGAUGGAGCUUCACAGACGCGGCCAGGAGAAACAGCGUCGUGUGAGCGGCCCAGCUACGCCUACACUGGAAAAUGUGGUUUGCAGCUCCCUCGCUCAAGUGAGACUUCAAGCACACACCUUUUUUGACGCCACUUCCUCUCACUACGUUUAAGGAUUUAAAGCGAAUGGACAAAAAAAAAAAGAAACCACCCUCACACAAAAGUGUUGCAAGGGUCCUUGACUGCAUGAUGGGAUUGCAUUUAACCAAGAUUUUUAACUAUAUACAGAAGUGUAUUGACAUGUCAAUGUUGGGUGAUAACCAUGUGAUUUCUAUUCCACUAUUUUUGUAGAAAAGAGAAUAGGCACGUGCAAGUGUUGCCGUUAAUUUGUCCCGAUUUAAUUUAACCCAUGCAGUGUCUUUGACUUUGUUGUCUAGGACUUUUUUUGGUCUGCCAGUGGCUUCCAAGUUUUCUAACAUUUUUCUAAGGUGUGGACAGUGUAUAAAACAACGAAGCAAAAAAUUUCAAACAAACUCUGUGCGCUGAAGUGAUUGUUCCCUCCAGCACAUUUCUCCUUGGGAACGCUGGUUCCUCGCGAUUUGAUUUUUCUAGAUGUUGGAGUCUCAGAGGACAACCAGAGGUGGGAACAGCCAUACUCACUCACCACAUGGGGACUGUCUAGCUCACGGACAUUCCCUGCACAAAAGGGGACUUUGUUUGCUUUUAGUCUCCUAUGCUAAAAAACAACAACAAAAAAAACCACACAAACAGCGUACACCAUCUCUAUGAAAGCUUUAAUUUGAGCGUUACACCAUAACAUAUCGAUUACGGGCACAUUAGUGUUCCUUAAGCAUGAUUCUGGGAUUGCAAUACAGUAUGCUUAUUCUUGAAACGACACAGUGAUGCACUCAGCCCCCCCCCCCCCCAUCUUUUCACACAUAUAGUAUGUUGUAGCAAACUUUUCACGCACGGAGAUUUGAUGCGAAAAGCUGAAACUGUAAGAGCGGAACGAGACUUGGCGUCUUUUUGGCUUCCACCACUCGAUUAACUGCUCCAUCCAAAAAGGAGACGUUCAUCUUUAAGCCUGAUUUCUAAGAGGUAGACUGUUUUAUCCCUGGAGUUUCAAUCAUUACCUUAUUUAUUUUUUUCCAUUUCUCAAGAGGAAUGAGGUGAUGUGAGAAAAUCUGAGGGUUUGACCUUUUUUAUCAUGCAAAAUCACUUUGAUGACUAUGUUUUAGCAUAUGGUGUUGGGUAUUAACGAGUGAGGCAUUUGCGUGUGCGCGUGUGUCUGUGUGAGGGACUGUGUGUGCAUGUGCGUUUGUGACUUCAGGUAAAGUGUUUGCCUUUUUCCUGAAAUGUCCUGUUUGUCAGUAAGGAUAGCUGGCGGGGUUAAAGGUCGAAGAGGGAAAAAACACAAAGCAACCAAGGGCUGUUUUAGCAUUAAAGAUAUAUCCUCUUAUCUUUCUGAGACAAAUCCUUGUGUCAGUGAAUAUGGCAUCAAAGGUUAAAGCCUGACUACACAGCAAUAAAUGUUCUAUGUGUAUGCCCUGAGUAAAUGAUGUCAAUGUGAUUUUUAUCUCCUCGGAUUACAACAGUACUCAUUUUUGUCUGUUUUUGCUUCUGCACGUCUAAACUUCCAACUGGUCGGAUAGCACCUCUGCCCUCUCCAAAACCAGUCGCUAGAGAGAUGGGCUCCAAUUGGAUAACAUGAGUAAAUGAGGUUAACGAACUCAGGUCGGGGGGUAAAAACCACUAGUUUAAAUUUUAAAGAUAGCUGUAAAGCUGUGCUCAGACAGAAAGCGAAGCAAAUUCUCGCCUUGCUUUAUUCGCACAAGUUUGACAGCUUGAGUGUUUUGUGCACUGUGCGCUCACACACUACAGGCGCCGGACGUCAGAUACAACAAGCAGAACAGUGCACCAAAUUUGUGCGUCAGCAGAGUGUGCCUUCAUGCACUGUGUGUGUGUGCUACAGCUCUCACUUAGACUGAUGUUCAAGACCCCCCUUGUCUCCUUUUAUAUUUAUGAGUACAAAGGUUCAGCAAAAGCACACAUCUUUCCUAACGUGUUUUUUUGCUCCAGUCCAAGCUGCCUUGAUCAAGCCUGCGUCCCCCUGUACACUCUGUAUUGUAUGCAGUCAUGUCCGUCUCUUCAAAAUUUGCUUCACCUUCAGUCUGAACACACCUUAAGAGUGUACACUUCACGUUUGUACAUAUCUUUGUAUUUUGAUCUGCAUGUGUGCAUUGCUGCCAGUGAUCAUGAAUAUAUCGUUAGUAUGCAUUUCAUAAAACUGUACAAAGGUGAAGGGAAUGCCCCGGAUGUUUCUGACUGCUGCUAUGAGACCAC